rnacentral:rRNA from 1 species
UACGUAGGGUGCAAGCGUUAAUCGGAAUUACUGGGCGUAAAGCGUGCGCAGGCGGUUUUGUAAGACUGUCGUGAAAUCCCCGGGCUCAACCUGGGAAUGGCGAUGGUUACUGCAAGGCUAGAGUUUGGCAGAGGGGGGUAGAAUUCCACGUGUAGCAGUGAAAUGCGUAGAUAUGUGGAGGAACACCGAUGGCGAAGGCAGCCCCCUGGGUCAAAACUGACGCUCAUGCACGAAAGCGUGGGGAGCAAACAGG